AAUCGGAAACGUCCCCCCAAAUCAGCACGGUUCCCUUCGUCGUCUCGUACUGGAUUCAUCCGCACACCCGGCGGCCGGUGGCAGAGGCAUCUCCACGACCUGAGCAAGGAAAAUCCAGCUGAUAUAGAUUCUCCAAAUCCGACUGGUACGUGGUGGCAACAAUCCUGCAAGUUCAUCUAUUUUUUCUACCAGCCUGUUGACGCUGGAAUGCGUCACACGGACACGUCGAUAUGUACCCGCGGCACCGAGGAAGAUGCUCCGCAACUCACACUGCGGGAGGCCGACUUCCAACGCGAUACGCAAGACAGCAAGCCGGCGCUUUUGGGACCAGAUGCCCCGCUCGCCCGGGAGGGACCCCGUCAGGCCUCGCGGCGACGAUUGGCUGCUCGAGGUCGGUCUUACCGCCCCUAUAGCCUCGUGGAUUCGCAGCCUCCAAUCUUGAAGAACGACGAAGAACGCGAAGAAAGAUACAAGGGGAGAGAUAAAAGUAGGUGAACACGGAAAAGUAGUAGAUUGAUUGAUCGAUU